AUCAUCAAAUGAUGAAGUAUUAAAAUAUCUUAGGACACCAUUGGACACGGCCUUUUGAGGUUGUGGAUGAGAAUGAUUGUAUUCUGAUGAUGAU